rnacentral:rRNA from 1 species
GACGAACGCUGGCGGCGUGCUUAACACAUGCAAGUCGAACGGUGAAGCUCCAGCUUGCUGGAGUGGAUCAGUGGCGAACGGGUGAGUAACACGUGAGCAACCUGCCCCAGACUCUGGAAUAAGCGCUGGAAACGGCGUCUAAUACUGGAUACGAGAUCAAGCCGCAUGGUUAUGGUCUGGAAAGUUGUUCGGUUUGGGAUGGGCUCGCGGCCUAUCAGCUUGUUGGUGGGGUAAUGGCUCACCAAGGCGACGACGGGUAGCCGGCCUGAGAGGGCGACCGGCCACGCUGGGACUGAGACACGGCCCAGACUCCUACGGGAGGCAGCAGUGGGGAAUAUUGCACAAUGGGCGAAAGCCUGAUGCAGCGACGCCGCGUGAGGGAUGACGGCCUUCGGGUUGUAAACCUCUUUCAGCAGGGAAGAAGCGAAAGUGACGGUACCUGCAGAAGAAGCACCGGCUAACUACGUG